CUCCAUAUAUGCCUUCCACUCUGUCAAAUGGUAGGUAAUGCAAUCAUGGUGUUAAUGACAAAUGUGAUGAUUGGGCUUUAAUUUUGUAUAAGCAUUUUGGUCUUGUAUAUGGAAGUUAUCCUAUAUGUUGACAAAUCCUCUUUUCCUAGUUCAGUUCAGGAACUUAAAUUUCAUCGCUUGUUCUAUAAGUCUACAGUUUUCCAUAAUACCUCAAUGACAACAAUGUUUUCCUGGUAAUUUUGUUGUUGUAAAAUCUCUGAGGUGAAUUUAUGCAACUGCAGCAUCAAGGCAGCAACUGUCUCUAUUAACUGCUAAAUUAAACUUUUUUCCUUAAAAGGGUCCUACGAAAGAAUGUUGCAUUUCCAACUGGAAAUGAUACCUCCGUACAAUCCGAUAUCUGAACAUGGGAUAAUUUCAUCUCUUCUUUUUCCUUACCUGAGCAAUAUCUUGGUCUUGCAUGCUCAUGUAGGCUGGAAACAUAUGCUGUGCUAGCAGCAACUAAUUUAGGAGAAAGAAAAAAGCAAGACGUUUAUAAAAGAGAAUAUCUUGAUUUGAUUUGCUUUGCUUUUGCAGAAAUUAAGUGAGAGAAUCAGAUCGACAUGGUUUUGUUAGCUUGUCUUGCACAUAGAAAAGAAGGAAAAAGAAAAAAGAAAUUUGCGGCAGGUGUGGAGCAUGUUGUGGUAAAUCCAUAUCAGCGAGUUGUUCCACUUUGCUGUUUAAUCUCUCUAAGAUGGUGUCACUUAUGUUCCUGGAUUGCUGUGCGGUUGAACCACCUAGUAAGCUUGGGUGAAUGUCACUGAUGAUCAUGGAAGCAUCCAUUCCCAUUGUUUCAGCAAGGUUUUGCACCACCUUUAUGUAAUCUUCUACUUUCCGGAGUCUAUCAUUCUUUCAGAGUGAAGAAUGGGUGAAAAUUAAUUGGAUGAUAUAUAGAAGAAAACCGACGCUACCAAGGUUAAAGCUACCUUCUCUUUAUGAAGUCUUUGGAGUUCAUUUUGGUGCUCAUCAAGCUUUUUAAGUGAGAGAUCUCCUUCGUUUACCAGAACAUCGCAAUCCGGUUGAUGACCUGCUACUUCAGAAGCAAUUCUUUGGAUUUGUGUCUGAACCUCCCGGAAUUGGUUCAUCCGCUCUUCUUUCCUUAGCUGCAUUUCAUGAAGUGCAGGAGUGAUUGCAUCAAGCUGCUGCUUCAGUGUACCUGUCAAUUUUUCAGGCUGCUCCAAGAGAAUUUAAGCUGGCUGCACAUUUGGUGCUAUUCUUUUCUUAUUAAAUAUACUAUCAAAAGAAGUCAUCUAUAUCUCACCCGGCCUGAGAAUGAUCGUUCCCCGAGGGACAGGAGAAGGUUAGUGAACUCAGCUUCUGAAUCAGCCAGUGCUUGAUGCAGACGAACUCUCAAGAUAUUUGCACUAUCAACUUUUCUUCUAUACAUGUCGAUACAUUCCUGUUCCAGUUCAAGCAGAAUCCUCUCUCUUUCAAGCUGAUCUUGCCCCACUUCAUCCCAAAUCAGCUGUUAGCAGUUGAUAAAAUGUUCAAAGAAAGUUCAGCUAGUAUCAAUUUCAAGAACCACUGAUAUGGAAAAACCCCAACCCAAACCUUUAGCUCUUGCAGUAGAUAGCCGCAGGAUGAUUCAGGGAUUGCUGAACUUGGGAAACCGGGAAACAUUCCGAAGGAUCCCAUCUCAUAAAUUCUGGAACAGUCUCAGGGAACAGUUUUGUCAAUGUAAGUUCUUCAAGUGGUUGUAAAACAGAGCAGAUUCCCCUGAUCAAGCAUUAUUCAAGGAAGAAAUUAGAGGUGUGGUAUAAAAGGAGGAGAAAGGUGGCAAAGCUGUGAUGGAUGGUGAAAGUGGCCUUCCAAGUUGGUUUUGCUUUGAAGACACGCAGCACAACAGUGAUGGUUCCUUUGAUGAGCUUCAAAGAAAAAUAAUUAUAUAUAUAUAUAUAUAUAUAUAUAUCAAAUACAAGUGCACAAGCUCGCUGGUUCCCUUGUUUUUGAAGGGCCAAUCUUCCUCACUGCUUUCAAUUGUUGACAUAUCGUGUUACUGGAAGCUUCCAUCUGAAGGUUAAUGUGUUGGUAAAGCUUUACAAAUGUUUGUCUUCUUUUCCAAGGGAACAUAUGGGUUGGCACAGAAGUGGAUCAGCUCCAUUUACUCGAGUCUCUGGAAUCAGCUGAUUUGCUUGUGAAGAAUGUCAUGCACUAGUUUGCUUCAAGAAAUGCCAAUCACUCCAUCAUUGAUGAGACUCGAAUGACAAUACCCACUUUAUUGCUUGUGAUAUGCCUGUGUUUGCACAUGCUCAGCGCAGCCAAAGUUGAGAUUCAUUGUAAAAUUGGUAUAUUUAAACAAAAAAAAAAAAGAAGAAAAUGUUACAUGUAUGGGUUGAAUAAUUAUGCACAGAGCUAGCUGAUAUAUCAGACAUCUCCUCGGUCGUUGGAAAGAUGCGGUUUGCAGUGAAAAGAAGAAUUAUCCUUGUAAUCCUUUGAGAGAACCAUCGAAAUGAUUUGGCCUCAAAAUACAUGAGCCGUCCUAUGAGAGGCAAAUAAUUGAGUUAAAAAGUCUGUUGCUUGCGAGAUGGAAUAUUGUGGCCUUUAAACACUCUCCAGUUGAUGUGAUGGUAAACUU